rnacentral:rRNA from 1 species
GUGCCAGCAGCCGCGGUAAUACGGAGGGUGCAAGCGUUGCUCGGAAUUACUGGGCGUAAAGGGCGUGUAGGCGGUUUCGUAUGUCUGGCGUGAAAGCCCCGGGCUCACCUCGGGAAGUGCGUCGGAAACUGCGAGACUAGAGUCCCGGAGAGGGAGGUGGAAUUCCAGGUGUAGCGGUGAAAUGCGUAGAUAUCUGGAAGAACACCGGUGGCGAAAGCGGCCUCCUGGACGGUGACUGACGCUGAGACGCGAAAGCGUGGGGAGCAAACAGGAUUAGAAACCCCUGUAGUCC